rfam:Bacillus okhensis strain Kh10-101 contig10, whole genome shotgun sequence.
UGGGCGGUAUCCAAUUUGGAACUGCACCAAGUAAGCACAAUGAAAAACGGGUCUGCCUUGAUCCAUCAGGACUAGGACAGAGGG